GCUGGGCAUCCUGGCACAUACCUGUAGUCUCAGCUUCUCAGGAAGCUGAGGCGAGAGGAUUCCUUGAGCCCAGGAGUUUGAGGCCAGCCUGGGCAAACAUAGUGAGACCUCAUCUCAA
rnacentral:sRNA from 1 species